UGGCCAGACUCCUACGGGAGGCAGCAGUGGGGAAUAUUGGUCAAUGGGCGCAAGCCUGAACCAGCCAAGUCGCGUGAGGGAAGACGGUCCUAUGGAUUGUAAACCUCUUUUGUCGGGGAGCAAAGCGCGGUACGAGUACCGCGAAGGAGAGUACCCGAGGAAAAAGCAUCGGCUAACUCCGUGCCAGCAGCCGCGGUAAUACGGAGGAUGCGAGCGUUAUCCGGAUUUAUUGGGUUUAAAGGGUGCGCAGGGGGCCUGUUAAGACCGCGGUAAACGCCGGGGGCCCACCCCGGGCGAGCCGUUGAAACUGGCGGGCUGGAGUUGGAGAGAAGUACGCGGAAUGCGCGGUGUAGCGGUGAAAUGCUUAGAUAUCGCGCAGAACCCCGAUUGCGAAGGCAGCGUACCGGCUCCACACUGACGCUGAGGCACGAAAGCGUGGGUAUCGAACAGGAUUAGAUACCCGUGUA
rnacentral:rRNA from 1 species